GGUGGGGUGGGUGACUGGGUGAAGAAAACAGAUCGAGAUCCCGCGAGAAAGAUGAAGGCGCGACACCGCCGCCGCCGGCCACCGUCGCCGCCGCACCUCCCCUCCUCCGACGUCCACGGAUCGAGAUGCCAAGAUCUAUGAGAGAGGUGCUGUAGGCCUCUGUACACCCCCAUCGCAGGAGCCGUAGGUGGAUGGACCUGGAUUCGGCACCACCAUCGACUUGAAGUUUGAGGAACUGCGGCGAUCUGCUGCCAGCCAUCGUCAAUCAUGAGGAACCGCGGCGGCGCGGCGCCCUCGGCCAGGCUGUAGGAGGAUUCAUUGAUUCAUUAGGAGGACAAGAUCGAGCAGAGCAGGUGGAGGAGGAAUUAAUCUCGCCGGUGAACAAAACAGUCCGGCAUACCUCUGGAGGCCGCGCUUGACGCUGUCGGUGGUGACGUCGGUGUAGAAGGCGUCCCAGGUGCACCAGCCGAACUAGUUGAGGAAAGACGGCAGCUUCUUCCUCUCCCGGUGGUGGAACGUCUGCAGGUGCUUCUCCACCGCCCGGACGGCGGCGCCUGCUCGAAUAGGUAAUUACAUGUACAUGUGGAUUUCACUUGACACAUCAGAUUAGUUUAUCUCAAGCCUGAUGCGUGUGCUUGCGCUGGCCAUUCACCUCGUGACAUACUCACAUACUAAUACUAGUAGCGCCGUACCAUGCACCCAUGUUGCAUCCACACUUGGGGUCUUGGGGAUCGGAGCAGUAAUGGUGGCAGAAGUAGACCGGGAGGUUGGCCAGGUACAUUUGGCUUAUGAGUAUGCAGGCAUGCUUUAACGCUGUUGCCAUACUGAAAUCUAGUUUCCCAGUACCACUAUUCAAGUAAACCAUGACUCUUGACCUUUGGUUAGUUUUGAUGAGCAUCCAGAGCGACAUCAUCAUGAUGUUCUUAACAUUAACCAAAAUGGUACCUGAAAACAUUAACUUGGAUUAGAAUAUAGUACUAGUAGUAAUGUGGUGGGAUUAAACUUAUUGCAGCCCCUUAAAUUUCGAUCAAUGCCAUGUUGGGAGUCACCAUUUGGCAUCAACUUAUUGUGCUGAGUUUUGGUUAUAAGAGAAAAAAAUGGGAAUCCUACAUUUAUUGGCUUGGAGAGUGGGGCAUGAAAGGCUAUAGGAGUUGAUCUUGCACACCUCUAGCUAGGCGUCCAUGACAACUGCAGCACAGAUCAUACGGGCUGUGUUUAGAUGCGAAAAGUUUGCGAAAAGUGAAGCUGAAAAGCACUGUAGCACUUUUCAUUUGUAUGUGGUAAAUAUUAUCCUACCAUGGGCUAACUAGGCUCAAAAGAUUCAUCUCGCAACGUACAUCCAAACUGUGCAAUAAGUUGUUUUAUUUACUCACAUUUAGUGUUCCAUGCAUGCGUCAUUUGCUAUAUUUAAUGUGUCGAUGUGAUUUCGAUGUGACGGAAAGUUUGGAAACUUUGGAGGAACUAAACACAGCCACGGUGGUGGGAGAUGAGCAAUUUGAGCAUAGUAGACCCAAGCUAUCAUUCAUUCAGGCCCAAGCUAGUAAAGGAAGAGCUACGGAGACAGAAAGAAAAGGUUAUCUUGUCAGAGGUUCGUCAAGUGGUUCAGCAGAUGCAAGCUGUCUA